GAUUAACGCUAGCGGCAGGCAUAAUACAUGCAAGUUGAACGGCAGCACAGGUAGCAAUACUGGUUGGCGAGUGGCGCACGGGUGCGUAACACGUAUGCAACCUACCCUAUACAGGCGAAUAACCUUUAGAAAUGAGGGCUAAUACGCCGUAGUAUUACAGAUGGGCAUCUAUUUGUAAUUAAAGAUUUAUCGGUAUAGGAUGGGCAUGCGUCCCAUUAGUUAGUUGGUAAGGUAACGGCUUACCAAGACGAUGAUGGGUAGGGGAUCUGAGAGGACUUACCACCACAAUGGUACCGAGACACGGACCAGACUCCUACGGGAGGCAGCAGUAAGGAAUAUUGGGCAAUGGCCGCGAGGCUGACCCAGCCAUGUCGCGUGCAGGAAGACGGCCUUAUGGGUUGUAAACUGCUUUUAUACGGGAAUAAUAGAGUGUACGCGUACAUUUAUGCAAGUAUCGUAUGAAUAAGCAUCGGCUAACUCCGUG
rnacentral:rRNA from 1 species